UAGCAUAUUGAUAUCUCUUGAAUCUAAACAAGUCAUGAAACAAGGUAUAGUCAUUCUUGAUGGCAUUUCUAAAAGGACGAUCCGACCUAUGCUUCCUAUAGGCUAGAAAAACCAGCCUUCCGAAAUCUUCAACAUCAUCAAUUAACCCAGCUAGUUUUUCUGCAUUGAAUAUUGAGAACAAUUUUCAUCAAAAACCUAUAGUUUAGUCAAAUUAAAGUCAAAAACAUAAUGAUUACUAAAGCUACUCACUACUAUACUCAUCGACUUUGAGUCGUUUUGCCUCACCGCCACUAGUUUCAUCAAUAGGUUCAUCGUCAUACCGAAAAUUGCACACCCUAAGGCUAUCGUCUCUGGUGUUCAAUUUUCGGCUACUGUCUAAAGCCAAAGAUAUUGAGAAAAUUAGUGCGCCGGAGAGGGUAGCCUUAGGGUGUGUAAUUUUCGGUAUGACGAUAAACCUAUUGAUGAAAUUAGUGGCGGUGAGGCAAAACGACUCAAAGUCGAUGAGGGUAGUAGUGAGUAGCUUUAGUAAUCAUUAUGUUUUUUACUUUAAUUUGACUAUAACGAUAGGUUUUUGAUGAAAAUUGUUCUCAAUAUUCAAUGCAGAAAACUAGUUGGGUUAAUUGAUGAUGUUGAAGUCUUCGGAAGACUGGUUUCUCUAGCCUAUAGGAAGCAUAGGCCGGAUCGUCCUUUUAGAAAUGCCAUCAAGAAUGACUAUACAUUGUUUCAUGACUUGUUUAGAUUCAAGAGAUAUCAAUAUGCUAACCCUAGGUAUUUCAAUUUUAUGGCAUAUUUAUUGUUAGCUUUUUGUUAAGGACGUAAACGUAAUUAUUUAUUUGGCUGUCUUAGGGAAUUUGUUGAAAACAUAUCUAGCUGGAUAUACCAGGCUAGUUGCUUUUGGAACCAUGUUAAAGUUGGCGUCUUUUUUUAUGCAUUUAAUGAGUUGCUACAUUCAAAUAGCGAGAAGCUUCUGCGUAAUCGCUUCCUUAAAGCAGACUUUUUUGGUUGGAAAAAAGGAUAGAAGAGAAAGGAAUAUAUGAAAUGUAUCGCUGCCUGACGUAUGAGGACAUAGAACCUAAAAUGUAUAGGAGGGCCUUUGGAAUCAUAAGAUUUUUAAGGAAUUACAAGGCACACUACAAAGGCAAUCGUUUUGCUGAUAAGGCUUUACGAGAAGUUAUGAAGUUGUUUUCCCAUUUGCUUGGGUGUUCCUAUAAUCAACUUUUCUUAAAGUUGAAGGGAUUAAACAUUCAGAAUAUGGAAGGGCAUGAAAACACAACGAUAAGCCUUAGAAGAUGAUGUCUUAGUCUUGGAAGAUGAUGCAGGGGAAUCAAAAGCGUGGCUGAUUAUAUUUGUACUCCAGGCUUUUGCUACAUUACUUUUAGCCAUUAGUUUAGAUAAAUAGUAAAGGAGGAUAAAAAACUUGUUGUAAACAUUUAUACUUUAAGUCGUAUCAUUUGGAAAUGAUAUGUUUGGAAAUGAUAAAUCGUAUGUUGGAUUGUUAUAAUUCGAAAAACAAAUUUUUGUUU